CAGUCGCCGCGGUAAUACGAAGGGGGGCUAGCGUUGCUCGGAAUGACUGGGCGUAAAGGGCGCGUAGGCGGCUGACGCAGUCAGAUGUGAAAUUCCUGGGCUCAACCUGGGGACUGCAUUUGAGACGUGUUGGCUUGAGUGGAGAAGAGGGUCGUGGAAUUUCCAGUGUAGAGGUGAAAUUCGUAGAUAUUGGAAAGAACACCGGUGGCGAAGGCGGCGACCUGGUCUUUAACUGACGCUGAGGCGCGAAAGCGUGGGGAGCAAACAGGAUUAGAUACCCCAGUAGUCCCUGUCUCUUAUA
rnacentral:rRNA from 1 species